GAUGAAGAACGUAGCGAAAUGCGAUAAGUAAUGUGAAUUGCAGAAUUCAGUGAAUCAUCGAAUCUUUGAACGCACCUUGCGCCCUUUGGCCAUUCCGAAGGGCAUGCCUGUUUGAGUAUCAUGAACACCUCAACUCUUUAUGGUUUUCCAUGAUGAGCUUGGACUCUGGGGGUUUUGCUGGCUCACAGUCGGCUCCUCUAAAAUGAAUCAGCCUACCAGUGUUUGGUGGGUAUCAUGGGUGUGAUAACUAUCUACGCUUGUGGUUUUUCCACCAGGUAACCUUCAGCAGUGGAGGUUCGCUGGAGCUCAUAGAUGUCUCUCCUCAGUGAGGACAGCCCUUUGAAUGUUUGAUCUCAAAUCAGGUAGGACUACCCGCUGAACUUAAGCAUAUCAAUAAGCGGAGGA
rnacentral:misc_RNA from 1 species